rnacentral:rRNA from 1 species
UACGUAGGGUGCAAGCGUUAUCCGGAAUUAUUGGGCGUAAAGAGCUCGUAGGCGGUCUGUCGCGUCUGCUGUGAAAACUCAGGGCUUAACCCUGAGCUUGCAGUGGGUACGGGCAGACUAGAGUGCGGUAGGGGAGACUGGAAUUCCUGGUGUAGCGGUGAAAUGCGCAGAUAUCAGGAGGAACACCGGUGGGCGAAGGCGGGUCUCUGGGCCGUAACUGACG